UUUUCAAUUCCGCAAAAUUAUCUGGAGAAGUUGAAGAACGGAGGAGAUUCUUUUUCCGGCAGUCUUGCUUUGGGCCACCGAUCUAGAAGAACCGUUCUCUCAAACGUACCAUCGACGAUUUAGGUUUUGGUAACGAUCGGUUUAGGUUUAGAAAUUGAAGAUCUGGUUUAGGUUCUAUGUGUAGAAUCUAUGUGUUACUGAAUCCCACCGUACAUUCAAGGAGAUAAUGGAGAAGAAAAAAAAUAUAGACUAGUACCACAUUCAGCUACAGAGAAACAUGAAUAUAUCAAGGAAUGAAGCUUUAGAACAAGAGUAGAGAAUUUUCAUCAAGUUUAGUUCAUAAUCAGACACAUGUUUGGAAAUUAUGUUACCUUGAUGCAUUCAAAGAAAUAAUCAGUCUCUUAGAGGAAGUAUGCUUCUUUUUCCCCUUAUCCUUACGUGAAACCAAAACCAAAGAAUCCUGCAAAGCCACAAACUCCUCCGACACCGCUGCCACCAGAUGGAAGACCGUGUGAUCCGGUUUAUAUAAAAGCGCUGCCUGGAGCAUGUCAUAAAUUAAAUGGAGAUCAAUUAUGCCAAGAGGUUUGCGGAGGACCUAAAUAUUUCAACGGUUAUCGAUUCUCAAAAUGUGCGGCAGAUAAAAAGUUCUGCGAAUGUCGCAAUUGUUUCUAAGUUCCUAAAUACUGCUUUCCGAACUUACUAAAAUAUUAAAGUGUUGGUUCAAUUAUCCAGAUUAACUAUUUAAUAAUCAAUGAUGGAACCGGUUGUUUAAUUACUUGUUAUAUUGAAAAUGUUGUCUCAAA